CGUUCUUGUGGCUUUUCACUGAAUCCUCUCCAAUUUAUUAACAUCCUUCUUGAAUUGUGGAAACCAGAGUUGGACAUGAUAUGCCAACAGCCGUCGCACAAGUGUCAAAUACAGAGGUAAAAUAACCUCUUUACUCCUACUCAAGAUUCCCCUGUUUAUCCAAGGAUUGCAUAAGCCUUUUGGCCACAGCAUCACACUGGGAGGUCAUGUUCAGCUGAUUAUCCACAACAAUCCCCAAAUCUUUUUCAGAGUCACUGAUUCCCAGGAUAGAGUCCCGCAACAUGUAAGCAUAGCCUACUUUCUUUGUUCCUAUAUGUGUACAUUUACAUUUAGCUGUAUUAAAACACAUAGUGUUUGCUUGUGCCCAGUGUACCAAGCGAUCCAGAUCAAUGACCAUUCCGCUUCAUUAUUUGUUUUCUUCCAGGUUUUUAAUAUGUUAAAUAGCAUAGGGCCAAGAUCAAUCCCUGUGAGACCCCACUAGAAACAUACCUGUUUGCUGAUGAGUCCCCAUUUACAGCUAUAAACAUCAAGGACCAUGCAUACGUGUUGAAACUAGGGGUGCUGCUGCAUCCUCUGGCUUGAAGUGGUUUCCAUCAUAUACAUUUGGUUCAAUGGUUCUCAGCACCCCCACUAUAGAAAUUGUUCCAGCACCCCGGUUACCUUGUCCUCCCACAGAAGCCAAUAAGAGUUUUGCCAUGGGUAUCAGUGGGAACAAGCUGAGACGCUAAGGGUUUGAUCCCGAGAGAUGAUGAACAGCCACAACUUCUGCUGAAUUCAACUCCUUCCAGGAACAGCCCUUAAGGAGGAGUGGAAUUACCUGGGUUGGUCAAAAGGAGUUUAAGUAUCCUUCUUGAAUUGUGGACACAGAACUGGACAUGGUAUUCCAGCAGUGGUCGCAUAAGUGCCAAAUAUAGAGGUAAACUAACCUCUCUACUCUUACUCAAGAUUCCUCUGUUUAUGCAUCCCAGGAUUGCAUUAGCACAUUUGGUCACAGUAUCCCACAGAGAGCUUGUGUUCAGCUGAUUAUCCACUACGACCCCCACAUCUUUUUCAGAGUCACUGCUUCCCAGGAUACAUUCCCCUUUCCUGUAAGUAUGGCCUACAUUCUUUGUUUCUAGAUAUGUACAUUUAUAUUUAGCCCUAUUAUAACACAUUAUUUGCUUGCACCCAGUGUACCAAGCAAUCCAGAUCUCCCUGAAUCAGUGAAAUGUCCUCUUCACUAUUUACCACUCCCUACAUUUUUGUGUCAUCUGCAAACUCUAUCAGUGAUGAUUUUAUGUUUUCUUCCAGGUCAUUGAUAAAAAUGUUUAAACAGUGCAGGGUCAAGAACCGAUGCCUAUGGGACUCCACUGGAGACACACCCACUUGAGGAUUCCCCAUUUAAUAUUACAUUUUGAGACCUAUCCAUUAGCCAAUUUUUAAUCCAUUUUGUGUGUGCCGUGCUAAUUUUACAUCGUUCUAGCUUUAAUCAAAAUAUUGUGCAGUACCAAGUCAAACACUUUACAGAUUAUUGCCUUUAUGAAUCAAAUUUGUAAUCUCAUUAAAAAAAUCAAGUUAGUUUGACAGAAUCUAUUUUCCAUAAUCCCACAUUGAUUUGCAUUAAUUAUAUUACCCUCCUUUAAGUCUUCAUUAAUCAAGUGCCAUAUCAGCAGCUGCAUUAACUUGCCCAGGAUCAAUAUCAGGCCUAUAAUUAUCCAGGUCCUCCUGUUUUCCCUUUUUAAAACUUGGCACAAUAUUAGCUGUCUUUGAGUCUUCUGGAACUUCCCUAGUGCUCCAACACUUAUUGAAAAUCAACAUUAACGGUCCAGCGAGCUCCUCAGCCAGCUCUUUUAAAACUCUUGGAUGCAAGUUUUCUGGACCUCUAGUUUUAAAUUU